UUAAGAAUUAUAUUUUUUUAUUAGUUAGUGAUUUAAAUUUCCUUUUUAAUACAGCAAGAAGUCUUUACAACAUAGCAAUUGUUUUUAUGGCACUCCUCGUCUCAGUAUUCCUUUAUCAGUUUAGCACGAAUUUUUAAAAAUUGGUUCUUAAAAAUAUAAUUUAUUUAAAAUAUAAAAGGUGAACUAACUUUGUGUAAUACUCGUAGUUUCUAUUUACACUAAAAAAACAGAAAAUAAAAUAAAUAACAACGUUUAUCGAUAGUUAUUUUGAAAAAAAUAGUAUUGUUGCGUGACAGAGGUCUCUCAAAUAAAUGCACUUGCGCUAUAACGUUUAUAAUUAAUUUAUACAUAAAAAUUAAUUAUUUUUCAUACUUUCUCACUCACAUUACGCAUUCAAGGUGCCUUUUCAAUUAUUGCAAUUUAAAUCAUUAAUCAUUUGCAUCAAGGCAAUCAAUUAUAGAACAUUAAUCCCAUAACCAGAAGUAGAACUAAAUAAUAGUCCUUAAUAAACGAAGCAAAGCAAUUAACUAUUUAUCUAAUAUAACAAUUCUUUAAAUUGAUAUAUUAUAUAAAGUGCAAAGAUGAAUUUUAUUGUAAUAAAUAAUUUCAGUUGUUAAAUAAUUAUGUAUUCGACGCCAGUCAUGUGCUGGGAAAAACCGAUGAGUCAUAUUAACGUCACACUUUUCCUAUUGUGCGACUUCCUUUUACAUAAAUUUUCUUUCUUACUGAAUAUUUUCCUUUCAUAAUUUUUAAUAUUAAAAAAUUCUUAUUCUGUUAUUAUGUGUUAGGCCCCAUUUCUCCUCACCCAUACCCAUUGUGGGCCCACUAUGGGUUGAAAAAGACCCAUUUAGUGCUCGCAGAAUGAAAUAAAUUGCAAAUGCCUUACAAAAUGUUAAUUAAUAUGAGAAAAUUCGUUCGCUUGAAUUACUGUCUUAUGAAUUUUUAAAGUAGCUUUUCUCUUAUCUAAAAAGAUUUUUUAAUGAAGUCUUAAGUUACGAAGACCUGUAAAACACAAUUGUCACUGAAGAGCUUAUUUUAUAUACUAAUAUACAAUUCAAAAUUAUACUCUGAUCACAUCAAAUAAAUUUUUAAACUCCGAUAAUAUAUUUUAAAACCUAUUAUUGGAGUUUAAGGAAAAUGUCUCUUGUUUUAUUUUUCUACUUUAUAUAAAAGUAACCCUUUAUAUUGUUGACGAAUUAUUAUAUAAGCGCCAUUUAAUGAAAUAAUACAAUUCAUAUAUUGUAUAUUAUUAAUUCAUUGAAUUGUGCCUUUUAUAAGGAUGCUGAAAAAAUUUGGAGUAUCCUGUGUAAUUAUAUAUAUUUACACACAAGUGUAGUUGUGUCGUACUUUUUGAAAAUUGCAGUUAGAUGGUGACUUCUUGCACAUGGUAGAGAACUAUAGUAUAAGAAAGGAUUUACCACAACCUAAAAGAAGAUAACGAAAAAUUUACAUAUUUCCCUCUCAAUAGGUUAUAC